rnacentral:rRNA from 1 species
GUGGGGAAUCUUCCGCAAUGGACGAAAGUCUGACGGAGCAACGCCGCGUGAGUGAUGAAGGUCUUCGGAUUGUAAAGCUCUGUUAAUCGGGACGAAAGAGCCUAGUGUGAAUAAUGCUAGGAAGUGACGGUACCGGAAUAGAAAGCCACGGCUAACUACGUGCCAGCAGCCGCGGUAAUACGUAGGUGGCAAGCGUUGUCCGGAAUUAUUGGGCGUAAAGCGCGCGCAGGCGGAUCUGGCAGUCUGUCUUAAAAGUUCGGGGCUUAACCCCGUGAUGGGAUGGAAACUACAGAUCUAGAGUAGCGGAGAGGAAAGUGGAAUUCCUAGUGUAGCGGUGAAAUGCGUAGAUAUUAGGAAGAACACCAGUGGCGAAGGCGACUUUCUGGACGAAAACUGACGCUGAGGCGCGAAAGCCAGGGGAGCGAACGGGAUUAGAAACCCGGGUAGUCC